UACAGAGGUCCCAAGCGUUGUUCGGAUUCACUGGGCGUAAAGGGUGCGUAGGCGGUCGGGUAAGUCUGAGGUGAAAUCUCACAGCUUAACUGUGAAACUGCAUUGGAUACUAUCCGGCUCGAGGAAUGGAGGGGAGACUGGAAUACUUGGUGUAGCAGUGAAAUGCGUAGAUAUCAAGUGGAACACCAGUGGCGAAGGCGAGUCUCUGGACAUUUCCUGACGCUGAGGCACGAAAGCCAGGGGAGCAAACGGG
rnacentral:rRNA from 1 species